GAUGAACGCUGGCGGCGUGCUUAACACAUGCAAGUCGAACGGAAAGGCCUCUGCUUGCAGGGGUACUCGAGUGGCGAACGGGUGAGUAACACGUGGGUGAUCUGCCCUGCACUUCGGGAUAAGCCUGGGAAACUGGGUCUAAUACCGGAUAGGACAAUGGUUUGGAUGCUGUUGUGGAAAGUUUUUCGGUGUGGGAUGAGCUCGCGGCCUAUCAGCUUGUUGGUGGGGUAAUGGCCUACCAAGGCGUCGACGGGUAGCCGGCCUGAGAGGGUGUACGGCCACAUUGGGACGGAGAUACGGCCCAGACUCCUACGGGAGGCAGCAGUGGGGAAUAUUGCACAAUGGGCGCAAGCCUGAUGCAGCGACGCCGCGUGGGGGAUGACGGCCUUCGGGUUGUAAACUCCUUUCGCUAGGGACGAAGCGUUUUUGUGACGGUACCUGGAGAAGAAGCACCGGCUAACUACGUG
rnacentral:rRNA from 1 species